AGGAAUACAUCGGAAUCUACUCUGUCGUGGGGAGUAACGUAGGGAAACUUACGCUAAUACCGCAUACGACCUACGGGUGAAAGCAGGGGAUCUUCGGACCUUGCGCGAUUGAAUGAGCCGAUGUCGGAUUAGCUAGUUGGCGGGGUAAAGGCCCACCAAGGCGACGAUCCGUAGCUGGUCUGAGAGGAUGAUCAGCCACACUGGAACUGAGACACGGUCCAGACUCCUACGGGAGGCAGCAGCC
rnacentral:rRNA from 1 species